CGUGUAGGCGGCUCAUCAAGUCUGGUGUGAAACGCAAGGCUUAACCUUGCGUAUGCGCUGGAAACUGGUGGGCUUGAGUUCCUGAGGGGAAGCUGGAAUUCCAGGUGUAGGGGUGAAAUCUGUAGAUAUCUGGAAGAACACCGGUGGCGAAGGCGAGCUUCUAUCAGAGGACUGACGCUGAGGCGCGAAAGCGUGGGGAGCAAACAGGAUUAGAUACCCUGGUAGUCCACGCUGUAAACGAUGUGCACUAGGCGUGGGGCCCGUACGGGUUCUGUGCCGUAGUUAACGUGUUAAGUGCACCGCCUGGGGAGUAUGCUCGCAAGGGUGAA
rnacentral:rRNA from 1 species